UGUCUGUCUCUGUUUAUUUUUUUUCUACCUCGAAAGCGAGAGAAAAAGACAGAGAGAUUCGCCUCGUCUUAGUCAGCUCCUCAUUCUUCCUCUCUUACGUUCCUUGGUAGCGAGCACGGUAGCCAUGUCGACGAAAACGUGUCCGGUGUCCUCGUCGUCGAUGAUGAUCACCGCCAUGACGGAGGAGGAAUCCUUCUCCUGACGUAAGGACAGGAAACAUAUACAAUCCUAUAACUAAUUCUCUCUCUCUCUCCCUCUUUCUCUUUCUCUCUCUCUCUCUCUCUCUUUCUCUUUCUCAUAUAUACGUGAUAUUAUAAUCCUUCGAAAAACUAGAAUGAAUUCUUCACGUUCGUUCGUUCGUUCCUUCGGUGAGCUCGUUCGAUGACAUAUCGUCAUUAAUAAUUUCAUAUUUGCAAAAGAGACUAUAAUAUGUAGUACUUAAAAAAACAAAAAAAAAAAAAAAAAGGAAACAAAGGACGUAAAUAAAUAAACAAAUGAAUGAAUACAAAAGUAAAACGAAAGAAAAAAAGAAAAAAGAAGGAGAGAGAGAAAAGGUCGGUGGUUGAGGGGUGGAAGAAGGUUGGGAUUAAAGAAACGUACGAAAAAAGAAAAAGGAGAGAGUAAAAAAAAAAAAAUAUGGCAACAGGUCGCGUUAGGCGGCACUAGCCGCAUUGCUUUACGUUACGUUACAUUACGGUACAUUACCACCGUACAUUACGUUACGUUACGAACCAAUGACGUAUGUAUUUAUCUAUGCGAUAUAUAUAUAUAUAUAUUAUGUGUUUAUGUAUAUAUGUCUAUAUAUUUAUGUAUGAUGUAUGUAUAUAUAUAUAUAUAUAUAUACUUAAAAGUGUAUCUAUCCGUCGUGUGUCGCGUUCGUGUAGUGUGUUGUUUACCGUGUAUCGUCUCUCACGUCCGUUUGGCGGCGCUUCGUGAAACAAAUGACAAAGAGCUAAAGAAAUAGAAAUAGAAAGAGAGAGAGAGAGAGAGAGAAAGAGAGA